rnacentral:misc_RNA from 1 species
AACCUAGCACACCUGCGGUGUGUACCUGCGGAAGGAUCAUUACCGAGUUUACAAACUCCCAAACCCUUUGUGAACCUUACCAUAUUGUUGCUUCGGCGGGACCGCCCCGGCGCCUUCGGGCAACGGAACCAGGCGCCCGCCGGAGGCCCCAAACUCUUAUGUCUUUAGUGGUUUUCUCCUCUGAGUGACACAUAAACAAAUAAAUAAAAACUUUCAACAACGGAUCUCAGAUCGGAAGAG